AUUGAACGCUGGCGGCAUGCCUUACACAUGCAAGUCGAACGGCAGCGGGCCUUCGGGUGCCGGCGAGUGGCGAACGGGUGAGUAAUGCAUCGGAACGUGCCAUUGAGUGGGGGGAUAACGUAGCGAAAGUUACGCUAAUACCGCAUAUUCUGUGAGCAGGAAAGCAGGGGACCGCAAGGCCUUGCGCUCUUUGAGCGGCCGAUGUCAGAUUAGCUAGUUGGUGAGGUAAAGGCUUACCAAGGCGACGAUCUGUAGCGGGUCUGAGAGGAUGAUCCGCCACACUGGAACUGAGACACGGUCCAGACUCCUACGGGAGGCAGCAGUGGGGAAUUUUGGACAAUGGGCGCAAGCCUGAUCCAGCCAUGCCGCGUGAGUGAAGAAGGCCUCGGUUGUAA
rnacentral:rRNA from 1 species